rnacentral:rRNA from 1 species
UACAGAGGUCUCAAGCGUUGUUCGGAUUCAUUGGGCGUAAAGGGUGCGUAGGCGGCGCGGUAAGUCGGGUGUGAAAUCUCGGAGCUUAACUCCGAAACUGCAUUCGAUACUGCCGUGCUUGAGGACUGGAGAGGAGACUGGAAUUUACGGUGUAGCGGUGAAAUGCGUAGAUAUCGUAAGGAAGACUAGUGGCGAAGGCGGGUCUCUGGACAGUUCCUGACGCUGAGGCACGAAGGUCAGGGGAGCAAACGGG